UGAGUAAUGUAUAGGAAUCUACCUAGUAGUACGGAAUAAUUGUUGGAAACGGCAACUAAUACCGUAUACGCCCUACGGGGGAAAAAUUUAUUGCUAUUAGAUGAGCCUAUAUUAGAUUAGUUAGUUGGUGAGGUAAAGGCUUACCAAGACAAUGAUCUAUAGCUGAUCUGAGAGGAUGAUCAGCCACACUGGAACUGAGAUACGGUCCAGACUCCUACGGGAGGCAGCAGUGGGGAAUAUUGGACAAUGGGCGAAAGCCUGAUCCAGCCAUGCCGCAUGAGUGAAGAAGGCCUUCGGGUUGUAAAGCUCUUUUAGUGAGGAAGAUAAUGACGGUACUCACAGAAGAAGUCCUGGCUAACUCCGUGCCAGCAGCCGCGGUAAUACGGAGAGGGCUAGCGUUAUUCGGAAUCAUUGGGCGUAAAGGGCGCGUAGGCGGGUUAGUAAGUUAAAAGUGAAAUCCCAAGGCUCAACCUUGGAACUGCUUUUAAAACUGCUAGUCUAGAGAUUGAAAGAGGAUAGAGGAAUUCCUAGUGUAGAGAUGAAAUUCGUAAAUAUUANGAGGAACACCAGUGGCGAAGGNGUCUAUCUGGUUCAAAUCUGACGCUGAGGCGCGA
rnacentral:rRNA from 2 species